UACGUAGGCAGCGAGCGUUGUUCGGAAUUACUGGGCGUAAAGAGUGUGUAGGCGGCGCUCUAAGUUCGGUGUGGAAUCUCUCGGCUUAACUGGGAGGGUGCGCCGGAAACUGGAGUGCUCGAACGUGGGAGAGGAAAGCGGAAUUCAUGGUGUAGCAGUGAAAUGCGUAGAGAUCAUGAGGAAGACCAGUGGCGAAGGCGGGUCUCUGGACAGUUCCUGACACUGAGGCACGAAGGCCAGGGGAGCAAACGGG
rnacentral:rRNA from 1 species